rnacentral:lncRNA from 1 species
GAGCUGCCGACUGACUUCAUCAAUUUAAUAGUCUUCUCAAAAUUCCUAAAUUAUGAACAUAAAACUAUCUGAAGAGAAGAAAAGCUCAUAGGUGUAUCUGUAUCACACACUGCUUCAUACUUCUCCGUUAUCCAGCAGCCCCAAUUAACUAUCUCUGACGAAUUAUUCCUUUUUUUAAUAACCAUAGUGUCCAGGCCAGCUUAUGCACACCUCAACUAAUUCCACAAGUUACCUGCAAAGAUCUGUUCCAGUAGGAAUUUUGAGUUGUCAUGACAUAGAAUCAUUAAACUAUGCUACAUACUCGGUAAAUCAAGGUUUUAGACAUCACACUGAAAGCAAAGUUUUUAUAAAAUCAUGACAUAAGGAAAAAAAAAAGUCAUCCAAUCAGGUAAAUUAUGUAAGAAAAAAUCAAGAAAUGGCACCCCAAAUGAUUGUUUACUUUACCAUUGAGGCAAUCUUUUUAAAGACAAAAUCAAUUCGCAUUUAGCAUCGCCUCUUUAGCUCCUAGGUUUAUAUACCAAAACAGCCCAAAAAAAAGAGUUUAUCGUGAACACUUUAAAGAGGUAACAAACCACAUCUUCAAGUGAACCAACUCCAAAACGUUUUAGUAUAAUAAAGUUAGCAGCACCAUAAUAAAUAUUUACACUUUUAAAUUAUUGUGUCAAAGGAAAAACUUACUGAAAACCUAGAUAAAGUCUUUAAAUUGCAAUGCACAGUACGUCAACGUUGUUUUCAAUUGGAGUAAAGGAAUGAAUUGUACAGAAUACAUAUACUUUCUUUUCUUUCUUUUUCCUUUCAAAAUACAGAUGCUUUCCUUGGCGGCUAGAUAGAAAGUAGAUGUAGCGAAAUUAAAUCCUAGAAACCGAUCAACAAAGGUGCUAUGUUGUCAUUGAACAAUUUUAAAGUCAAUAAACAUGAAGCAUGUUAUCACGGGCCCGUUUUCUUACGCUCGCAAGCGGCACCGACUCGCCCGUGCGGCGCCUGCAGUUCCCCUCGCUGCAGGCCAGCCUUCGUCCUUUCCCAGGUUUUCAAGCACGAUCCUGUGCCUGUUGGUGGGACUCGCCCAUGAGGCUCGCCCCAACUUGUGCCGCCCGUAAGAUGUCUAGGCACUUGGCCCUAGACAUGUUGUGGCGCUGCAUCUUAGGAUCACAAUCCAUGCGCGCCCUGGGGGAUUGGCUUAGGACAUGUCUUGUCCCUCGCCCAAGACUGAGCAUCGCACCCGCGUGCACAGCCCAAUCCUCAAGCUUGACAUUCGCCUAGUGCAUCCGCGACUAGCUCGUGCUCUGCCCGAGUAAGGAAACCUUUAGUCUUUGGCCACUGUCAUGCGCGUCUUUCGUGCCAUGCCCAUACAUAGCCCUCGCGACACGCUUCCAUUCCGAAUAGUGCAGUGUCGCCCCACAACUGCACCUUUAGGCCAACAGACCCUUGCUUGCAUGGUUGAACCCAAGCCAUGCUCACAAGUCGACACAUGAUGCCUCUAUGACAGGUGUGUCGAGUAUCCAAUCGGCACGGAUGUCCUUCCAACAUUCGACAGCCCGCGGGGCUGGUCGUCCCACACAUCGAGCCUCCAGCGCCUACUUGAUGCCCAACGCUAGCCCGAAGGCGUUGCGCCGUCCAUAGAGUUCCCUAACUCGUUUGGAUACCUAGGACACUCCUUUGAGUCAUCCAGGCAGGCCCUUGAGGUUGCCCCUAAGGUAGCUCGUUCAAUACGGCUUGGUGGAAACACGUAUGGGGGAGGCAGGUCGGAGCUUUCAUCACCUAUACCCCCUUAUAUAUGCUUAAAAUUAAAAAUACCAAGUUGCCCGAGUAGAAAGAUCCACGUCAGACAAUCAGAAGAGCCUUUUCUCACCAGUUCUUUGCCGAAGUCAAAACCUCAAUGUGCGGGUUGUGACAAUGUACUAUUAAGAAUGAGAAUCUAUGGAGUAGAAGAAAACACCUUUUAAAUAUCAAACAAGUUUCACUUUAUACUGUGUUUUGCCUACUCUAACUCAUGUCUAAGAUAUUCAAACCAUAGGCAUGCUAAAUGGCCAACUUGUGUUUUAAAGGCUGGACUUGUCGUAGAAAGUAGCAACAUCAUUUUGCUUUCUUAUUCUACUUUCUUUUCUUGUAUCAUCUAUUGGAUCUAAAGAAUUACUGGUCAGUCACUCUUCAUUCAUUUCUAAUAAUCCAUUCUUAGUAAAAUGCCUAGCAAUACCUUGUCUCGGGACAACUUUGGUUGAGUUCGUAUGAUUCACGGGUAAUCAGUUGGCACAGCUUCUCAGCCAGUCAGAGUUAUUUCUUUGAGAAGACUAAUCACCUGAAAAGCCGGAAGAAAGGAGUUGAAAUUAAUUUUUUUAUCAAGAAUAAGGGAGUUGAAACUACUAAACCUGAAUGUAAAAUUCAGCAUAUUUACAUUGGAUAUUGUAAACUAACUGAAUCAAAUGAUACUCAGGAUGAGUCACAUUCUUGCAGAUUAACCAAACAACUAAGAAGAUAUUGAAGUAAGAAAUGCAGAGUUAAAGAAUGAAAAAGAAUAAGUAAUUUUCCUACCAAAGCUUGUCCGGCCAAGAAAUUGAGCUAUCAACCCCUACAGUAGUCUUAGAAUACAGAAUAUUUUUCAAUUGAGAGAGAUAUCGUGUAAGUUUAAUUUCGAGUAGCUUGUCUAAAGGGAGUUCAAAGAAGUCAUACCAAGAUUGAAGAAUGAACUUACUAUAUACAUUGCAAAUGUGAUAAAUUGAACACAAUAAGAUACUUCAUAUUUGUAAAUCACAAAUAUUCUAUUUUCUCCAAUUGGUUUGCCAAUAAAGCACGCUCCUCAACAUUGUCAUAUAUUAAAGUGUGAAAUUAAAUCUAACUUGUGUGACUUUUACCUCAGUUAAAACCAUAAGAAAGUUAUCCAGCACUAUCUCAAUUAAGUACAUGUAUUUCCUUGCAAACUAUUCUUCUUUUUCGGUCUCAUUGUCAAUUUUGGAAGCACAUAUAAAAAUAUUAGGAGCUGAUAAAUCUGUUGCUACGAUCACGUCAUCUAAUGUAGUUACACGACCAUACCAAUCUUCUGUAUUCUAAAAGUUAAAUUUAUUUCUUUGCAAUGACUUGACCAAUCUGUCAUGUGAUAAUAAGUUUCUUCCAGGUAACAUAUGUCCCAAAGCUAACCGAAAUUAAAUAAAAUCAAUCUGUCGUGGCCCACACAAAGAAAACUCGACCUCUUCAACAUUUCUGCAGCCAGAGUCUCAAAUCUUUCCAACCUCACCAACUCCCAAUUCCUUUACUGCCACCCCCUCUAAGUCAGUAUCCAUCUCGACAAUUUCGCGACAUAGCGUCUCUUCCCCUUUUUUCUGAUUUCCCUGUCUUUCUUCUCUUUACUUCUCUUCUGUUAUCAAAUUUCCUAAACCUUAAUCCAAACCAAAAUCCGGAGAAUCCAAUAAAAUAUGUCAAGCAGUUGGUUAUCGCUUUUUAAGAAUUAAAACCGAAAAAAUGCACCUCAUCCUGAAAUCACUUAUAGUAUCGAAUUUCCAUGAAUUCUAUGUUAGCUUUAACUAACAACUUAAUUAAUAUAUGUAGUUUGUUAUAUGUCAGUAAAAAAGCCGCCAUAAGAUUUCUCAAGAUGAAACAGAAAGCUAGCUAAAAGAACCAAGUCGAACUUGUUACCAGAGUAGCACACACAAACGAACAUGAAAUUUCAGCAAAAGCAAGUCUCGCCUCUCAGCAGAACUCGUAAUUUUAUGUUUCAGCAAUGCCAAUACGGAGAACAGCAGGGGGGAGAAAAUGAAUCACCCAGCAGCCGCAAAAAGAAAAUCGACCUGCGCAAAACAGAGUGAGGAAAAGGAUGAGCUGACAAACGGUGAGUCCAACUGCGUUUGCAGCCACGUUUUACAAGACCGACACUCGUCACUCUUUGAAAAUACAUAUCCAGCACUGACUCCAACCCUAUGAGAAUGACCUUAACCCAAAUUACAUAGCUUUAAUUCCAAACCUAAAAGGAAAAACAAAGGGAAUGACAAAGAUCUACCAACACAGACAAAAGGGAAGAUUGAAGAAUUGCACACCACGUGUUUGACAAAGCAAAGUACACCUCAACACCUGAUAGACGCGGCAAACAUCUUAUUACCUCAUCUUCUCUAGUCUUGCUUUGGUGUGAAGAGUUAUAGUGGAAGCAACUUGGGCUUGAGUUCAAUUCGACCAGAACUCUCGAAUACCAAAAACCCAGGAACAAAAUCAACAGCCCACAAUACCAAACUUAGGGAGAAAACGAAGGGGAAAAGAGAGAUUUAUACCUUGAACAAUGUAAAGAGAUGAGAGAGAGAGAGAGCAGGGGGAGAUGAGAAACUGAAGACCGUGCUGGCGCUUAUGUGUUGAACAAAAAGGAUGUACACGGGAACAAUUUUAAGCCACUUAGAGGGCAGAUUUCAAAAAAUAAACCGG